CCUACGGGAGGCAGCAGUGAGGAAUAUUGGUCAAUGGGCGCAAGCCUGAACCAGCCAAGUCGCGUGAGGGAUGACGGUCCUAUGGAUUGUAAACCGCUUUUGCACGGGGAUAACACCCUCCACUUGUGGCGGUCUGCAGGUACCGUGCGAAUAAGGGCCGGCUAAUUCCGUGCCAGCAGCCGCGGUAAUACGGAAGGCCCGAGCGUUAUCCGGAUUCAUUGUGCUUAAAGGGAGCGUAAGCGGGCGUUCAAGUCAGCUGUAAAAUCGCGCGGCUCAACCGCGCCCCGCAGUUGAAACUGGACGCCUUGAGUUCACAACAGGCAGGCGGAAUUCGUGGUGUAGCGGUGAAAUGCAUAGAUAUCACGAGGAACCCCGAUUGCGAAGGCAGCCUGCCGGGGUGCGACUGACGCUGAGGCUCGAAGGUGCGGGUAUCAAACAGGAUUAGAUACCCGUGUAGUC
rnacentral:rRNA from 1 species